rnacentral:rRNA from 1 species
UACGUAGGGUGCAAGCGUUGUCCGGAAUUAUUGGGCGUAAAGAGCUCGUAGGCGGUUUGUCGCGUCUGCUGUGAAAACUCGGGGCUUAACUCCGGGCCUGCAGUGGGUACGGGCAGACUAGAGUGCGGUAGGGGGAGACUGGAAUUCCUGGUGUAGCGGUGAAAUGCGCAGAUAUCAGGAGGAACACCAGUGGCGAAGGCGGUGGUCUGGGCCGAUACUGACGCUGUAGAGCGAAAGCGUGGGGAGCGAACAGG